rnacentral:tRNA from 1 species
GCCUUUGUUGUGCCACGGUAGCACACUCGGCUCGUAUUCGAGAGGUCUCAGGUUUGAGUCCCGGUGAGGGCA